AUUAAACGCUGGCGGCAUGCCUUACACAUGCAAGUCGAACGGCAGCACGGGGGCAACCCUGGUGGCGAGUGGCGAACGGGUGAGUAAAGCAUCGGAACGUGCCCUGGAGUGGGGGAUAACGUAGCGAAAGUUACGCUAAUACCGCAUAUUCUGUGAGCAGGAAAGCAGGGGAUCGCAAGACCUCGCGCGGACGGAGCGGCCGAUGGCAGAUUAGGUAGUUGGUGGGAUAAAAGCUUACCAAGCCGACGAUCUGUAGCUGGUCUGAGAGGACGACCAGCCACACUGGGACUGAGACACGGCCCAGACUCCUACGGGAGGCAGCAGUGGGGAAUUUUGGACAAUGGGGGAAACCCUGAUCCAGCCAUGCCGCGUGCAGGAAGACGGCCCUAUGGGUUGUAAACUGCUUUUCCAGGGGAGAAACUUUCCGAUGCAUCGGGAUUUGACGGUACCCUGGGAAUAAGCAUCGGCUAACUCCGUGCCAGCAGCCGCGGUAAACUGUAGUCGUC
rnacentral:rRNA from 1 species